CGACCGCGGUAUAUCUGACCGUGCGAAGGUAGCAUCAUCAGUAGUCUCUUAAUUGGAGGCUGGAAUGAAUGGUUGCACGAGAAGAAAGCUGUUUCUUCUUCAAGAAUUGAAUUUCACUUUUAAGUGAAAAGGCUUAAAUAAAUUGAAGGGACGAUAAGACCCUAUAAAACUUUACAAUUUAUUAUUGCUCCAUAAAUUUUUAGUAUAACUUGGGUUAGUUGUGAUAUUGUUGAGUUGGGGCGACUAUUAUAAAAUUCUAAUAACUGUAUUCUGAAUUAAUAAUUCUGUUUAGUUAAUUGAUCCUUUUUUAAAGAUUAAAAGAUUAAGUUCCUUUAGGGAUAACAGCGUGAUUUUUUUAAAGAGUUCUUAUCGAUGAAAUUAGUUGCGACCUCGAUGUUGAAUUAAAAUUCCUAUAAAGU
rnacentral:rRNA from 1 species